rnacentral:rRNA from 1 species
UCAGGAUGAACGCUAGCUACAGGCUUAACACAUGCAAGUCGAGGGGCAGCGGGAUUGAAGCUUGCUUCAAUUGCCGGCGACCGGCGCACGGGUGAGUAACGCGUAUCCAACCUUCCGUACACUCAGGGAUAGCCUUUCGAAAGAAAGAUUAAUACCUGAUGGUAUGAUGAGAUUGCAUGAUAGCAUCAUUAAAGAUUUAUCGGUGUACGAUGGGGAUGCGUUCCAUUAGGUAGUAGGCGGGGUAACGGCCCACCUAGCCAACGAUGGAUAGGGGUUCUGAGAGGAAGGUCCCCCACAUUGGAACUGAGACACGGUCCAAACUCCUACGGGAGGCAGCAGUGAGGAAUAUUGGUCAAUGGGCGAGAGCCUGAACCAGCCAAGUAGCGUGAAGGAUGACUGCCCUAUGGGUUGUAAACUUCUUUUAUAUAAGAAUAAAGUGCAGUAUGUAUACUGUUUUGUAUGUAUUAUAUGAAUAAGGAUCGGCUAACUCCGUGCCAGCAGCCGCGGUAAUACGGAGGAUCCGAGCGUUAUCCGGAUUUAUUGGGUUUAAAGGGAGCGUAGGCGGAUUGUUAAGUCAGUUGUGAAAGUUUGCGGCUCAACCGUAAAAUUGCAGUUGAUACUGGCAGUCUUGAGUGCAGUAGAGGUGGGCGGAAUUCGUGGUGUAGCGGUGAAAUGCUUAGAUAUCACGAAGAACUCCGAUUGCGAAGGCAGCUCACUGGACUGCAACUGACACUGAUGCUCGAAAGUGUGGGUAUCAAACAGGAUUAGAUACCCUGGUAGUCCACACAGUAAACGAUGAAUACUCGCUGUUUGCGAUAUACAGUAAGCGGCCAAGCGAAAGCAUUAAGUAUUCCACCUGGGGAGUACGCCGGCAACGGUGAAACUCAAAUGAACUGACGGA